AUCAUCACUGUCAACUUACGACGAAGUGGAAAAAUGUGUGCAUGAGCUGUUUAUUUGGUGAUUACAACGUAUAUAGAAGCCCUCUUUCCAAUAAUAUUCGCUUAUCGCACAGAAUAACCAUCCAAGUUGAAUGGUUAUGCCGAAGACAGUCAACGGCAUAACCAUCAAAGUUGAAUGGUUAUGCCGAAGAGACAGUCAACGGCAUAACCAUCCAAUGUUUAUGCCGAA